AUUUUAUGAAAUCUGGAGGUGUUAAUUUAAAUUUGUUGGUUAAAUAAUAUAUUUUAUUUUAGUAUUUUCAAUUUCUUGUUUCUUUUAUUUACAUGUAAGUUUUUAGCGUAAAUUUUUAAAAAUAUUAAUACAGUAAAUGUUAUUAAUUUAUAAGAGAAAUUUUGAUUUAGAAAUUGAAUCUUAAAUAAACUAAUUUUGUGCCAGCAGUUGCGGUUAAACAAAUUAUUAAAAGGAAUUUUAGAAUUAAUGUGAACUUUUACGAUAAAUAGAUAAAAAUGAUUAAUUGAAAGGUAAAAUUUACAAUUUUUUUUAAUGUCUAAUUUUAAUUGUUCAGAAAUUUAGCGCUAAACCAGGAUUAGAUACCCUGUUAUAAUAAUGUAAACUUUAUGGAGUAGUAAAAGUUAAGAGCUUAAAACUCAAAAGAUUUGGCGGUAUUUUAUCUUAUCAGAGGAACCUGUUUAUUAAUUGAUAAUCCACAAUUAAAAUUUACUUUUAUUUAUAUUACUUGUAUACCGCUGUCAUGAAUAUACUAAAAAGUUUAUAUUUUCUUCCACCCCAUUUUCCCGCUGCUGGUUUAUGUUAGGUCAAGGUGCAGUUUUUAAAAGAAGCUAAUGGGUUACAAUACAAAUUAUGAAUGGAAUUAAGUAAAUUUAACUUUAAGAAAAAGGAUUUGAAAGUAAAAUGAUUUAUAAAAAUUAAAUGAAUUUAGAUUCUAAAAUAUGUACAUAUUGCCCGUCACUCUUGCUUAAAGUAAGAUAAGUCGUAACAUAGUAGAUGUACCGGAAGGUGCAUCUGGAGUUAGAG
rnacentral:ncRNA from 1 species